CAAGCCCAAGCCCUCAGAGUCCACCGUCGAGCCUCUUUCCAGCCCGUCCCUUUGAGCUUUCCUCCCUGGGGCCCCAGGGCUCACCGACUUCACAUCCGUUCACAGCCCCUCCUGUGCGGCUGAGCGCCGUGGUUAUCCGGCGCCCGUCUCGUCUACACACCGGCUCACCGUACCAGAGCGCGCUGGUUUGUACUCACUUGGCACGACCCCAACCCAGUGAGAUUUUACAUUUAUUAAAGGAAAAGAAAUAUGCUCUGCAGAGCGAGUCUGGACCAACUAAAGGCAGGAAGAGAAAUCCACUCUGCAGGGGGAGAGAGGGCUGGUGAGCAGACUGACACCAACUACGAGGUCAGGGACAGGAGACGCCACAGCUAGCAGAGCCACUGCUCUACCGAGAGACGCCUGAGGCUCGUGUUAGGCAACAUGCAGCUGAGCAGAAUUUCUGGUCCUGAGCCUGGAGCUGGCAGCAAGCUCAGAGCAUUCAUCGGAGGCAUGGCCAUGGUGUUCUCCCUCCUGUGCCUUGAGAACAGACUACAGUUGCCAUGGAGAUGGGAAAUCUGAGUUGGGCUUGCUGUGUGACCUUGAGCAUGUUACACCUCGUCUCUGGGCCUCUGUCCCAGCACUGUGUUAAUCAAGAUCUCAGCUCUGGGCUGGGAUCAAAGCCCUCUUUCGUCACUUGC